rnacentral:snRNA from 1 species
AUCGCUUCUCAGCCUUUUGGCUAAGAUCGAGUGUAGUAUCUGUUCUUAUCAGUAAAAUUUAAUCUUAGGCUGUACACAGAGGCUCAUGCCUAUAAUCCUAACUCUCU